CAGCACCUGCCGGGGCAAGGCCCACUCCCCUCAGCAGCCAACAUGGCGGUGGAACCAGUCAGGGGCCCUGCCCUGCCCCUCACAACCUACCGGCAGCCCUGCACAGCUGAAUUUCACCUCCUGUCACAUAUUCCAUAUUAAAACACAUAUAUAUGUAUGAUACAGGGGGAGAGAUUGCUCCCAGGCCCAGGAUUUGUGCGAGGCCAAGUCUGUAGGGUAUGGAGGCCCUGUCGUCCUGACAGGCAGGGACGGCUGUGAGAAGGAAGACCUGAGGGAAAGAGAGACAUCUCAUCGUGGGAGCUCCAGGGCAAACUCCCUCUCCACAGGUGCAGGAACGACGUUUCCAGGCAAGCUUAAACAGAAGAGACAGCAGAGCAAACACUCCAGCCCAUCCCAUCACUGGCUUCUGUGCUGGAUUAAACAAGACCAGAAUUCAGACCUCUCAUUGUAGGCUAUGUCUCAGUUUCUUGUCAGAAGGAGAUCCUGACAUGAAUCUUGUGUCUCUGCCCACUGAUUUUCCAGAAGAUGCUGGGUAGAAGGGAGCCAACAAACUCUCCAGCCUAUUUCCUGGACAUCCCAGGGUGUCCACACAGAGUCAGGUAACAAAGAGCAGCUGCCUUACAGUUGAAUAUAACUGGAAUGCCUAAAUGGCUGAUCCACCCUCAUUUAGGAAACCUGCAGCAUAUCCAGGGCUCUGAUCACAUAUCCCAAGACUUGAUAUAGGGCUUUAGCUACUCUGCUAUCAUUCACAUGAGCAGAGCUACUACACAGGACACAGACUAUGUUGGAAAUAAUUUCUUUUCACUACAGCAACACAUUUCAGCAUCACAUCUUGGUGUUCUCAGGCAUCCCAGGAGAGUUGCACAGCACUGGCUACCAAGAGAUGCUCAGUUGUUCCACUUUUAAGUGUCCUUGUGCCCAUUAUAACAUUGUAAUAAAAAUAACCAGAAGCGGGUAUGUGUUCCCAGCAGGCAUCAGUGAUUCAUAGCAAACUGUAAAAACCAAUGCAUGACAUAGAUAAAGGCAUUUGAAGCCCCAAGACACAAGUGUGGGGUGUGUGUGCACCAGGACUACGUCACCAGGAACCAGAGGACUGCAAAAGCUCAUCCCCCACAGCAGGCAACAAUAACUCAGUGGGACAGGUCACAUUUGUGAUCAGCCAGAGCCCGUCCUUCCCCUGCAGAGGAACUUAAAGCAGAGAGCAGAAAAGUAGAAAAGCUCUGAGAGGCAGCCUGGACAAUGUUGUCUGAAGGUUUCCUACGAGGAAUAUGGGCAGUUUAAGCCAUGGUACCCAAGGCACUGUAGAAACAAAGGGAUUUUAUCUCUCCCAAAGGAUGUUAUCUCUCCCAAAGGAUGCUAACUCUCCCAAAGGAUGUUAGCUCUCCCAAAGGAUUUUAGCUGUCCACUUGCAGACCUGUGACUCCCCUGGGGAAGGGAGUAUCUUGAUCACAGUGCAACACCUACUUGGCUUUUUGUUUGCUUUUGUUGGGUUGGUUUUUUUUACUGGAGACAAGGGUUAAGUGGCUUUUGUCCCUCUCCCCCAGGGUGACCUUGCAGACAGGGGAAGUUACACUGCAGGGAAAAGCUGGAUCAGGGAGGUUAGUGAAUGUGCCACACUGGAGAAACAAAGUAUUUUAUAUCUAGUGGGGUGUUUAUGACAUGAGAGCAGUUACACCGUCUCAGACCUAAAAAUGAACUCUACUAGUUUCAGAGGGAACACUCUUGUUUACAAAAGUGAGAAUCCAACCCAUUGAAAUUAUUUCUGAUUUAAAUGCAGUGUAACUGCAGGAGAGCUGAACCCAACUAGUGCAGUUCUGGUGAGUCUGAGGAAAAGGGGAACUGGUGAAAUUUGUAGCUGGAAUGUGAGAGGCAGUACCAGUCUGGGCUGUGAGUACACACACCAGGAAAGCUGGUCCUGGGUCUCCAAGUGACCCCCGUUCACCCAGAGUUUCUCUUUGCCUUGGUUUUUCUGUCUGUCAGGGUGGCAGAGUGACAUUGACCCUUUUUUUGGAAAGUGAUGUGACAAGCACAAAGUAUUAGGCUGUUAGACAGCUGUGGGAAGCACGGAGAGAUCUCUUGGAAUUACAGAUACAGAAACAAGGAAAGAUUUUGUCAGCUGGAUGCAAGGACUGAAAAAAAAAAAGACAUUCUGACAUGCUAUUGCUGCUGAAGUCCCCUCCCUAGAGAGGUCUGGUGAGGGCAUUUCUCUGUGCCCACUCUUUAUCUGAACUCCUCCACAUGCCUCAAUCCUAAUCCAGCCCAGCACAGACUCAUCCUAUUGUGUUAAAAUCAAAUGCACUUACAGGUAAAUGUCACUCUGCCAUAAAGAGAAAGGAAACCACUUAACUUUCUGUUUCUUUGUCUACCUGCCUCCAUAAUAGUUCUUGUCAAUUUACAUAAUUCAUGACUACCAGAGAUAACUUAAAAUGUAUCUUUCAAUGGAAUAUAAUGCAAACAGUUUUCUGUGUGGGCAGGGUAAAACAAAAUAAUAAUUACAACACACGAUGAUAGUGCUUAUAACAAAAUAUUUUUUUCCAUAAAAAGACUUUUGUGGCAGGAAUACACACUCCAGCACCAAAAGAAAAUAGUGGGAGAGAAAAACAUCUCUGCUGGCGUGUUAGAUUCUAUCAAUGGCACUGAUGGUUUCAUUGUCUAAAUAAACAUUGUGUGUAGAUAAA